rnacentral:rRNA from 1 species
CGUGGGUAACCUGCCUUAUAGUGGGGGAUAGCCUUUCGAAAGGAAGAUUAAUACCGCAUAAGAUUGUAGUAUCGCAUGAUAUAGCAAUUAAGGGAGCAAUUCGCUGUAAGAUGGACCCGCGUCGCAUUAGCUAGUUGGUGAGGUAAUGGCUCACCAAGGCGACGAUGCGUAGCCGACCUGAGAGGGUGAUCGGCCACAUUGGGACUGAGACACGGCCCAGACUCCUACGGGAGGCAGCAUG